rnacentral:rRNA from 1 species
AUGGUGGAAUUUGCCAGCGGUCUGAAAGGAAUCGACUUAAAUCUUGAGAAUGAGAAUGUAGGUAUUGUUGUCUUUGGUAGUGAUACCGCUAUUAAAGAAGGAGAUCUUGUCAAGCGCACUGGAUAUAUUGUGGAUGUUCCUGCAGGAAAGAUGUUAGGCCGUGUGGUCGACGCCUUAGGAAUACCUAUUGAUGGAAAAGGAAAUGAGAAUGGUCUAAUGGAAAUUACCGUUUGUUUGAACCAAGAGCUGAAACCAAGAAAGUCGCCUCCUUGCUUUUCCAGAAGCUCAUACGCUUCGAUGGAUUCCUUUUGGAUCGCCGCUCCAUCAGAGAAUUUGGUGGUGUAUCGAGUGUAUCAAAAAAUAUCCGGGAAUAAGAGCAGUUCAAAGGAAUUAGAAGUUGCGAAACAAUGUGCUACGAGAACUUACUCGAUGUACGGCCGUACUUCUGUUAGGUUGGUGAAGAUAUACAACAAAAUGGUCCUCCAUUCUUCAACAUCAAAUGAUAUUGGUUUUGAAGCACCAGCUGGUGUGAGAUUCCCUUUGAAUAGGCUGAGGUUGGACCCACCUUUUUUGUGGUCCCCAGCAUUGUAG